GGGGGUGUCUUGGUUUCGACUGGACGCGCUUAACGUCGGCGGCAUGUCGAGGAUGAUCGUUGGCCUCGUAAAAAUUCGAUCAAACCUAUAACUGCGAACGAAGAGUACGCACUCGCUGCCUAAGUUGUGGCGACGUUUCCUCCCUGAUGGGUGCUAGGGGAUGAGAAACGUCAUCAGCAUCCUGGUUCCGUCGGUUUAUCUGUUGCUGCGGAAUGAGAUAAGAAACGGACUAGUCACAAAGAAGUCUGCCGGGCGACCACUCUGCGUGACGAAAAGCAAUCAUGCACGGCUAAGCAUGUAGAAGCAGGCGCAAUGCCAUCACAGGACGCGGGUUCGAUCCCCGCCACCUCCACCA
rnacentral:tmRNA from 1 species